UCUUCCUCCUCUUCUUCUUCUUCUUCCUUCCCAUCCUUCUCUUUGAGGCUAUCAUCAGAAUAUGCAAACUGCUCCUUGUCUUUCCCCUUGAGUCGGUACUGCUCAAGACUUGCUUCAGCAUUUUCUGAAGGCCUGAAUCGACCAGUUGACGACCUUGAGGUUUGGACAUUAAGCUGCUUGACUGCAUAGGCUGCAAUUGAAGCAGCAACCAAGAAGCCUAACCUGACUAUCAUGUAGGUAUUGUUGAUAACAGAAUCUUAACUUUCCACUCAUCUAUUGAAACAAACAAAUUUGAAAAAACUUCUUCAGCCAUUUCUCCCCAACCCCAUAACUGACUAUUCAAGCCAUCAGUGCCCUAGAUAUGCACCAAGAGCUAUGAAGUCACAGAAUCUUCAACAGCAAAGGGAGCUUUCCAGGAAAUCCUGGUGAAAUUCUACAUAAAACACAGAUUAGUGAACUUUUAAGUAUGUAAAUUCAAUGGCCACAUCCAGCUAUUAAUAUUUUUCAGUAAAAUCUGCAUUAUCAUCUUAUCAUGUUUUCAGACCUUCCAAAGACGGACUUGCUACCCAACAAAGAGUUCCUGAUAAGAAGAAUUCCAACACACCUGUCAUGCUAAGAGCUACAGGAACCAUCAAUGAAACUAGUGGCCAGUUUUGCUUCAAAAGGAUGUUGACAAUUUGCAAAAUAAUGGUGGGUCUGACAUAUUACCAUUUUGUUUCAAUGUAAUGCCUAUAGUUAACGCAAACCAGAAAACAAGACUGAAAGAGACACUAGCAACAGUAAAUUUUUAAGCAAAGAACAUGCAUAUCAUGGUAUCAUGUUUAAGCCAUGUAUCACAUGCGUUAUCUGGUGUUCUUUGCCUCAUAAUUAAUUAGUUUUUUGUUCGAUUUUAGAGGUAGCUAAUUUUUAGGUGCCUUCCCAACUGAUACAAGUAAUGAUCACAGCUCAAACAGCAAACAAUUGAGAAACACAAACCACCUGAUCGACCUUACCAUUUUCUGGACAUUCAUAUUCAUUGAAGAGUGUUCACAAUACAAAUCUAUGACUAAAAGGGUUCAGAUUGUCCGAGUGGUUUAAUUCAAGAAAGAUAGUUCCACUUCAGAUAAUAUCUUCAUUCUUAGCCAACGGAUCAAUCUUAGCCUCUAUUAAGUAGUUUUCUUUAUUGGCUGAGGACCUAUUUAAGUAAACUUUAGAUUAGAAGGGUCCAGUACAAUGGCCAAAGACCUAUUAUUAAGGUGGGUUCAGCUUCUUUUUGGCUUUACAGUUACAACACAAUAAAGAAGGAAGGUACAUGGUAGUUUUAAAAGACAGAUGGAGGUAAGCCAAGGCUGAGAUUUUAAUUCUGGGCUGUCUGCUUAAUGGACUGGAGCAUUUGUAAGAUGUAAGCCAAGCAUAUACAAAGUAAGCUAAACUUUUUGGUAAUUGAUAGCCAAAAUUACAUGUUGGCCUUUUUGGCUUUUCUCCGGAAUUUAUCCUCAAUGACUAACUUUCGGGUUUAUUUAAUAAAAUUCAUGUGUUAAUGUCUUCUCUCUCUCUUGGAUUUGGAUUGCAGGAUAAAAGGGCAGCUUUAAUACAUGAUUAAGCAUGUACAGAAGCAUCUUUAUAUGACAUAUUUCCAAUCUCAAGAACAGUAUGUUAUCUUUGCUUUCUAAUCAUGACUAAGCAACAUGCACAAUAAUGUAAAAUCAAUGGUUAAAAUCCAACAAAAAUGAACCAACAUGAAUCAUGAACCCAGCAGAAGGGUGACCUGGCAAGGUCGGGGGAAGACAAAUUUGACAGAAGCCCUCACAACAUCCAAUGUUUGGCCGAGGAAUUUGUUGGUGCAAACUUUUCAAAAAGAUAAUUUACAGAAAAUAAAAGGAAUAUGAAAAAAACAAAAAGAAAAGAAAAUAUCCUUAUCUGGGUCGUAAAUUCAGUGGUCUCCACUACCCAAACUAGCAGCCAAAUUAUUAUCCUAAUUCUAAACCUAUCGAGUGGCCAAUGGCUCUCAUAAUUUAUAAUUCUUUUUACAGUCCUCUCUCUCUCUAUAUAUAAAAGUGUAUAAUUAUACUAAGUAUAUCUAAAUGAGUAUAAAUAAUAAAAUAAAAUACAAUGCGUAUAUUCUCAUUAAAAUUAGCAACAACACUUCCUACGAGCAAAUUGCUUUCCCAUCAGAGGAAAAAAAAAAAA
rnacentral:misc_RNA from 1 species